GUUGGUCAAGUGGUUAAGACACCUCCCUUUCACGGAGGUAACAGGGGUUCGAGUCCCCUAC
rnacentral:tRNA from 1 species